rnacentral:rRNA from 1 species
GACGAACGCUGGCGGCGUGCCUAAUACAUGCAAGUCGAGCGAACAGACGCGGCGCUUGCUCCUCUGACGUUAGCGGAGGACGGGUGAGUCACACGUGGAUCCCCUCCCUAUAAGACUGGGAUAACUUCGGGAAACCGGAGAUAAUACCGGAUAAUAUCUUGCAGCGCAUGGUUCAUUAGUGAAAGACGGUUUUGCUGUCACUUAUCGAUGGUUCCGAGCCGCAUUAGCUAGUUGGUAAGGUAACGGCUUACCAAGGCAACGAUGCGUAGCCGACGUGAGAGGGUGGUCGGCCACACUGGAGCGGAGACACGGUCCAGGCGCCUACGAGAGGCAGCAGUAGGGAAUCUGCCGCAAUGGGCGAAAGCCUUACGGAGCAACGCGGCGUGAGUGGUGAAGGUCUUCGGAUCGUAAAACUCUGUUAUGAGGGAAGAACAAAUGUGUAAGGAACUAAGCACGUCUUGACGGUACCUAGUCAGAAAGCCACGGCUAACUACGUG